rnacentral:rRNA from 1 species
GAUGAACGCUGGCGGCGUGCCUAAUACAUGCAAGUCGAGCGAACAGACGAGGAGCUUGCUCCUCUGACGUUAGCGGCGGACGGGUGAGUAACACGUGGAUAACCUACCUAUAAGACUGGGAUCACUUCGGGAAACCGGAUCUAAUACCGGAUAAUCUAUUGAACCGCAUGGUUCAAUAGUGAAAGACGGUUUUGCUGUCACUUAUAGAUGGAUCCGCGCCGCAUUAGCUAGUUGGUAAGGUAACGGCUUACCAAGGCGACGAUGCGUAACCGACCUGACAGGGUGAUCGGCCACACUGGAACGGAGACAGGGUCCAGACUCCUAAGGUAGGCAGCAGUAGGGAAUCUUCCGCAAUGGGCGAAAGCCUGACGGAGCAACGCCGCGUGAGUGAUGAAGGUCUUCGGAGCGUAAAACUCUGUUAUUAGGGAAGAACAAAUGUGUAAGUAACUAUGCACGUAUUGACGGUACCUAAUCAGAAAGCCACGGCUAACUACGUG